CAUUCACGGAGAGUUUGAUCCUGGCUCAGGACGAACGCUGGCGGCGUGCUUAACACAUGCAAGUCGAACGAUGAAGCCCUUCGGGGUGGAUU
rnacentral:rRNA from 1 species